rnacentral:rRNA from 1 species
CAUAUCAAUAAGCGGAGGAAAAGAAACUAACAAGGAUUCCCCUAGUAACGGCGAGUGAAGCGGGAAGAGCUCAAAUUUGUAAUCUGGCGGCCUAUGGCCGUCCGAGUUGUAGUCUGGAGAAGCGUCUUCUGCGCCGGACCGUGUACAAGUCCCUUGGAACAGGGCGUCAUAGAGGGUGAGAAUCCCGUCUUUGACACGGACCGCCGGUGUUCUGUGAUGCGCUCUCGAAGAGUCGAGUUGUUUGGGAAUGCAGCUCAAAACGGGUGGUAAAUUCCAUCUAAAGCUAAAUAUUGGCGAAAGACCGAUAGCGAACAAGUACCGUGAGGGAAAGAUGAAAAGCACUUUGGAAAGAGAGUUAAAGAGUACGUGAAAUUGUUGAAAGGGAAACGCUUGAAGUCAGUCGCGUCUUCCGGGACUCAGCCUUGCUCUUCUGCCUGGCGUACUUCCUGGGGUGACGGGCCAGCAUCGAUUUCGACCGUCGGAGAAAGGCCUUGGGAACGUGGCACCUUCGGGUGUGUUAUAGCCCUCGGUCGUAUGCGACGGUUGGGAUCGAGGACCGCAGCACGCCUUUUUGGCCGGGGUUCGCCCACGUAACGUGCUUAGGAUGCUGGCGUAAUGGCUUUAAGCGACCCGUCUUGAAACACGGACCAAGGAGUCUAACAUGCCUGCGAGUGUUUGGGUGGAAAACCCGGACGCGGAAUGAAAGUGAAAGGUUGGGACCUCUGUCGUGGAGGGCACCGACGCCCGGACCAGACCUUCUGUGACGGUUCCGAGGUAGAGCAUGUAUGUUGGGACCCGAAAGAUGGUGAACUAUGCCUGAGUAGGGUGAAGCCAGAGGAAACUCUGGUGGAGGCUCGUAGCGAUUCUGACGUGCAAAUCGAUCGUCGAACUUGGGUAUAGGGGCGAAAG